ACAUUUUCUUGGUAGGGGAGAUACUGUGGUCAGUUAAAUGACUUUUCCAGUUGAAGAUUUAUCUAUUACAAAUCAGCUUUCUUGACACGUUGGGUUUCCACAACAUAGGAAAUGCAACUGAAGGAUUUAUGUUUGGGGGGUUGAAUUCUUUCUCUCCCCAA
ensembl:snRNA U1 U1 spliceosomal RNA